GGGGAGGAAAUGCCGGUGGGUUCUCCCAUCGGUUUGACCUAUCCUCGGAGGAAGGACGGGCUAAGUUCGUGCCAGCAGCCGCGGUAAGACGAACCGUCCAAACGUUAUUCGGAAUCACUGGGCUUAAAGGGUGCGUAGGCGGCCCGGAAAGUUGGGUGUGAAAGCCCUCGGCUCAACCGAGGAAUUGCGCCCAAAACUGCCGGGCUAGAGGGAGACAUAGGUGAGCGGAACUUAGGGUGGAGCGGUGAAAUGCGUUGAGAUCCUAAGGAACACCAGUAGCGAAAGCGGCUCACUGGGUCUCUUCUGACGCUGAGUGCACGAAAGCUAGGGGAGCGAAGAGGAUUAGAUACCCUCGUAGUCCUAGCCGUAAACAAUGAGCACUGAUUUGGAGGGUCCUCCAUAGCCUUCCAGAUGUAGCGAAAGUGUUAAGUGCUCCGCCUGGGGAGUAUGGUCGCAAGGCUGAAACUCAAA
rnacentral:rRNA from 1 species